rnacentral:snRNA from 1 species
GGAUGUGAGGGCGAUCUGGCUGUGACAUCUGUCACCCCAUUGAUUGCCAGGGUUGAUUCAGCUGAUCUGGCUGGCUAGGCAGGUGUCCCCUUCCUCCCUCACUGCUCCAUGUGCAUCCCUCCUGAAGCUGCGCGCUUGGUUGAAGAGGACAACCAACCCCGAUAGAGGAGGACUGUUCUUCGGUCAAGGGUAUAGGAGUAGCUGUGCUCCCCUGCUAGAACCUCCAAACAAACUCUCAAAGAUCCUGAUUGAAGACAAGCUGUUCU